rnacentral:rRNA from 1 species
UACGUAGGGGGCAAGCGUUGUCCGGAUUUAUUGGGCGUAAAGAGCGUGUAGGCGGCUUUGCAAGUCCGUUGUGAAAACUCGAGGCUCAACCUCGAGACGCCGGUGGAAACUGCAAAGCUAGAGUCCGGAAGAGGAGAGUGGAAUUCCUGGUGUAGCGGUGAAAUGCGCAGAUAUCAGGAGGAACACCUAUUGCGAAGGCAGCUCGCUGGGACGUAACUGACGCUGAGACGCGAAAGCGUGGGGAGCAAACAGG